GCCUUGGUGGUUCAAUGGUAGAAUUCUUGCCUUCCACGCAGUAGACCGGGGUUCAAUACCUGGCCAGUGUA
rnacentral:tRNA from 1 species